rnacentral:rRNA from 1 species
GUUAAGCGACUAAGCGUACACGGUGGAUGCCCUGGCAGUCAGAGGCGAUGAAGGACGUGCUAAUCUGCGAUAAGCGUCGGUAAGGUGAUAUGAACCGUUAUAACCGGCGAUUUCCGAAUGGGGAAACCCAGUGUGUUUCGACACACUAUCAUUAACUGAAUCCAUAGGUUAAUGAGGCGAACCGGGGGAACUGAAACAUCUAAGUACCCCGAGGAAAAGAAAUCAACCGAGAUUCCCCCAGUAGCGGCGAGCGAACGGGGAGCAGCCCAGAGCCUGAAUCAGUGUGUGUGUUAGUGGAAGCGUCUGGAAAGGCGCGCGAUACAGGGUGACAGCCCCGUACACAAAAAUGCACAUGCUGUGAGCUCGAUGAGUAGGGCGGGACACGUGGUAUCCUGUCUGAAUAUGGGGGGACCAUCCUCCAAGGCUAAAUACUCCUGACUGACCGAUAGUGAACCAGUACCGUGAGGGAAAGGCGAAAAGAACCCCGGCGAGGGGAGUGAAAAAGAACCUGAAACCGUGUACGUACAAGCAGUGGGAGCACGCUUAGGCGUGUGACUGCGUACCUUUUGUAUAAUGGGUCAGCGACUUAUAUUCUGUAGCAAGGUUAACCGAAUAGGGGAGCCGAAGGGAAACCGAGUCUUAACUGGGCGUUAAGUUGCAGGGUAUAGACCCGAAACCCGGUGAUCUAGCCAUGGGCAGGUUGAAGGUUGGGUAACACUAACUGGAGGACCGAACCGACUAAUGUUGAAAAAUUAGCGGAUGACUUGUGGCUGGGGGUGAAAGGCCAAUCAAACCGGGAGAUAGCUGGUUCUCCCCGAAAGCUAUUUAGGUAGCGCCUCGUGAAUUCAUCUCCGGGGGUAGAGCACUGUUUCGGCAAGGGGGUCAUCCCGACUUACCAACCCGAUGCAAACUGCGAAUACCGGAGAAUGUUAUCACGGGAGACACACGGCGGGUGCUAACGUCCGUCGUGAAGAGGGAAACAACCCAGACCGCCAGCUAAGGUCCCAAAGUCAUGGUUAAGUGGGAAACGAUGUGGGAAGGCCCAGACAGCCAGGAUGUUGGCUUAGAAGCAGCCAUCAUUUAAAGAAAGCGUAAUAGCUCACUGGUCGAGUCGGCCUGCGCGGAAGAUGUAACGGGGCUAAACCAUGCACCGAAGCUGCGGCAGCGACGCUGAUGCGUUGUUGGGUAGGGGAGCGUUCUGUAAGCCUGCGAAGGUGUGCUGUGAGGCAUGCUGGAGGUAUCAGAAGUGCGAAUGCUGACAUAAGUAACGAUAAAGCGGGUGAAAAGCCCGCUCGCCGGAAGACCAAGGGUUCCUGUCCAACGUUAAUCGGGGCAGGGUGAGUCGACCCCUAAGGCGAGGCCGAAAGGCGUAGUCGAUGGGAAACAGGUUAAUAUUCCUGUACUUGGUGUUACUGCGAAGGGGGGACGGAGAAGGCUAUGUUGGCCGGGCGACGGUUGUCCCGGUUUAAGCGUGUAGGCUGGUUUUCCAGGCAAAUCCGGAAAAUCAAGGCUGAGGCGUGAUGACGAGGCACUACGGUGCUGAAGCAACAAAUGCCCUGCUUCCAGGAAAAGCCUCUAAGCAUCAGGUAACAUCAAAUCGUAC